rnacentral:lncRNA from 10 species
GUGAUUUUUCCCUAGUCGGGCUCUGCAUCCCAGAAAUACAAGCAGAAGAGGAGGCUGAGGGUGAGGUUAACCUAAGGCACAUUUCUGGGCUUCUGGCCUACUCUCUACUCCUGCUGGGCGCCUGUCUCCAGCUGGGACGAAGGGAAGAGCCUGCAGGUCAUGCCUCUACUUGAAGCUUCCUUCUCUCUCUCAGGGUUGCUAUUUAUUAUGUCUUGGCCAGUGCACCAAUCCAAAAGUUGAAAAAAAGCAGAGUACACAUCAAACCAUUCCCAGAAUCAAACUCUAGGAUGAUUUAAAGAUCAGUGAGUCAGAUACAUGUGGAUUAAAUUUUCCUCUAACUACAUACUUGGUUAGAAAAUCCUAGCCUGGGACUUGGAAGUGAUGGGUCCUGUUUGGGACACCCAAGUUGCUAUAAAGAGGUACAACGUGUGUUCAGUUCCAGUCCCUGGAUCAUCAGGCAAGGUCUGAAAACCUCUGUUUGAGACGGCAUAAAUUCCCAGGACUGCAGACCACUGGACCAAACUUCUAGGAGGCAAGACUUGUGGACCCUGGUUUCAAAAGAUUGUGACUUCCGUUCUGCUGGCUGACCCUCUCUCCAGCCUUCUCAGCUUGCAUAUCUCCAUGAAGCAAGCUGCCAUGUUGGCAAGACCUACGUGGCAAGGAUUUGAGAGCAUCCUCUGGCCAGCAGCAAGCUAGGAACCGAGGCCCUCAGUCCAACAACCAUCAAGGGACUGAAUUCUGCCAACAAACAUGUGAACUUGGAUGUGGAUCCUUCCCCAGGUGAGCCUUCAGACGAAAUGCCAACCCUGGCCAAAAUUUUGGUUACAGCCUUGUGAGAGAUUCUAAAGAAAGGACCUGGCUAAGUUGUGCCCUGGCUCUUGGCCCACAGAAACUGUGAGAUAAUAAAAGUGUGUUGUUUUAAACCAUGAUGUAUUAUGGAUUUGUUACACAGAAAUAGAUAGCUAAUACAACCUCUCUGUCUUCCUAGCUCAGCAUUUGGCAUAUGGAGUGGAAGUCAAGUGUCAGUUGAGUGUAUGAAUGAAUGAAUGGUGAUGGUAACAGGUAAACUCAUCAGGACCUAAGAAAGGCCUAGACAGGCUAGAUCCAAAGAGAGAGCUCUUUCCCAGCACCCACUGCCUGUAUA